rnacentral:misc_RNA from 1 species
AAGGAUCAUUACAGAGAACUUCGCCCUCGCGGGUGACUCUCCAACCCUAUGUUAUCAUACCUUUGUUGCUUUGGCGCGCCGCUUCGGCCACCGGCUUUUGCUGGUGAGUGCUCGCCAAAGGACCCUAAACUCUUGGAUUUAUUAUUGUCUGAGUACUAUAUAAUAGUUAAAACUUUCAACAACGGAUCUCUUGGUUCUG